rnacentral:lncRNA from 1 species
AUUGAUCUUUCAUGAACUUGGCUUCGAUUCUAAUGAACUAAUGAUGCGUUAAAGCAUUUGAUGUACUUUUAAAGACUCAUAACUGUGCAAAUUUUAGUGUUCCAAAUUGCUUUCCAUGCGUAUGUUGAAUGUCUCGGUGAUUCUCAUCGUCAAAGUUCUCCGGGCAUGAGGACUGGGUUGUAUAUGCAGCAUCUAUUCAAGCUUCAAAGUAGCGCGGCACAAUGACUGUAAGGUAAACCAAGCAAUAGACAAGGAUUGAAAAGAUGGUGAUUUUCUGCUACUGUUGUUAUUGAACAUUUAAUUUGGUUAGACACUCUUAAGCUUUUCCUGCUUUUUCGUAAGGCUAAUCCCAAAACUUAUUUCGAUUUCCUGUCAAUUCCAUGGAAAUAGCCUCUCGUUCUAGUUCCAAAUUAUCUGAGUGCCAAAUUUUUUGAAGUUCUCUGUGUUGUUCUGAGCACUAGUAGCUUAAUCCGAUGCAUGGUAUUUGUACAGCCUAUCUUCCUUUGACUUUUACAUUGUCAUGUCUCUAUUAGAUGUAAACACAUCGCAGCGCUAACUAAUUCAGAGGUUUUUAUAUGACAAUAGCUACCCUGUUAUAAUGAAAAGUAUAUUGUGCUAAUUUCUAAAUAUCAAGGAGUAAAUAAAAAAUAUAGUGUAAUAGCAUUCAAUUAGUGAUAGAAGGAAUUUGUUAUUUGAAAAGCAAUCAAAACAUCUGAGGCUGCGACUGCCCAACUUUUAGAAACUAAUGCUACUGACAAUUAUCUCUGCUAAGAUCCCUCCUCUCUUACCCUCUUCUUAUUUUUGGCAUUUGAAGAACACUGAACAACUAUAGCUGGGCUUCUUACGGUGUGUUGUCAUUUUUGCCUCUCUGGUCAUCAGGCUCUGUUGAUCUGUACUUGUAGCGAGUAGCCCAGAGGAGAUAAUGUAGGAAAUUUAACCCACUUAAUAUGCACAUCAACCAAUAAAACCUUUCAAGGUGAUAAUGAUUCAAAUUACUCCCGUAGAGCCAUGGCGUUCGCUGAAACCUACCAGUUAUAUGGUUUACUAUUGAUACGAUCACUGAACUAAGGUAAUAACCCAUGGCUAGUGAUGCCCAAGAGACUGCUGUUGCCAAUGACCUCAUGCUUAAGGGGGCCUCUGUGAAGAAGAACUCCAUCAAGCCAGCCAAGCUGAAGAGAUCAGCUGAUCCCAGGAACAGAUAUUGCAAUGCUACCCAAAGAAAUGUUAUAGGUAGUGGUUCAGUUGAAUUCAUUAAGCCAGAUUGCGCUGCCACUCUCUUCCGCUUCAUCUCCACUAGAGCUGCAACAGUCAUGGCUACAAUUGAUAGGAAUAGCCCGGUUCCGAUUCUCUGUAGAUGAGUAAUGCCCAUUUCACUCUUAGUCGCUGCCCUGGCGAAGGGGAUUAUAAUAUGAUUAUAUACUGGUGCCAGUAUCAUGGUGAAUAUGACUGGAAAUAUUGGAAGAGAAGCUGGUGGAACUUUUAGAGCACCAAUAUAUGUGUUCAUGGUGGCUGCUUGUUGUAUAGAAAAUGUUGAAAGCUGAGCCAAGCAACAGUUCAGCAUAACGGUUGACAUAAAUAUUGGCAAGAUCUUGACGACUGUUUUCACCUCUUCUACUUGUGUGACUGUGCAGUGAAGUGAUGGGUAGGCUGCUUUGUUCAUUGUUGAUUUAUCGAUGAACUUCUGGUCCUUCAUUUCACUCUGAAUUUCUUCCUUCCAUUCCCCGUGUCCUUCUUCUUCGUGACUUAUCUCAGUUUUGUUUUGGGGGGAUUUCCUCGUGUCUAACACAUUAUUGAUAGAAUUCUUAGGAAAAAGAGAGUUGCAAAAUGCUGCUACUAGAACCUGUUGAAACAAUUCAAUGAAGAUUACUCUAUUUUAGUAUGCUGGUACAGGAUGCAGGCAACUAGAAGUCUAGAACAUACCUUAAAAAUGGUUGUAAAUGGGCUUCCUUUGGGAACUUUGAUCCUGUAAGUCCCAGAUCCAAAGAGGAAAAUGGCAAUUGAGCUCAAUAUUGCUACGGUUGAGAUACCAAAACCCCACUGCCAGCCUUUAUUAUCUUCUACCCAUACUACUAAUGUCACUGCAAUCAAUGCUCCACAAGAGAGGCAGAAGAUGUAAUAAUUGAAGAAGGUAGAUCUGUGCUUCCUUCCUUGUGGCGAAUUCUCAUCGAAUUGCUCCGCUCCAUGUGCAGGAAGUGAACCUUUUAUCCCUCCAACACCCAAGGCCACCAGGUAGAGGCCACCAAAUAACAUUGCUGCUUGGCCACGACCAGCUUCGUUACAGGAGGUGUUUCUGUUUAUGGAUGCACAGAUAGGCGGCCUCAGGGAAGGUAUGCGAGCUUGAAAUGUGAGCAUCAAUAGUCCCUGUUCCAAUAGUUUUGAUUAUUAACAAUUCAUGUGACAUGGCGUCCUGCUAUGUUAUCAUCUUCUGAGUGGUUAUCUUUCAUGUCUCCGAAAGGAGAAAGGCUAUGUGUCGUGUUUUCUUUACCAUGCUAACUAAGAACUAAAGAAGCAGAAUGUUUGUCAUCGUGUUAGGAAGCAUAGGUACUUCCUUUUAAGAACCAUACAGUUGUCCCUGCAAAACUAUUAUGUCCAUACACAAAGCCCAUCUUUUUCUGGGUCAGAGAAAAGCCAUGGACAGUUCUUUAUAGAAGUCUUGAUCACUUGAGAAUUUUAUCUGGUGAAGUCGGAUGAAACGGACUUUGGUCAGGUGCUCAAUACCUAUCUUAAGUUGUGCUUUUUGUUACUGUAUUUCUGUAUAUUGAGCAGCUCAUUAUUUGAGCUUUCAUUAUUUCUCCAUGAAAGCUAAAGCAACAAUUUAUUACCAGUAUGUCUUUUUCAUUUUAAAAUAACCUGAAAAUGAGCUGCACCGAUUUAUGUACCAUAGGUCAUCAACGGGGUGAUUGUGCUGGGUCCCAUUUUUCUCAUUCCUGAUAUCUAAUUGGACAGAACGAACUCAAGACAUGUGAAGUUUGAUGUACAAACAUUUGUUCUUCUAUAAAUAAUCUUUGUUUCUACUAUGCUACUGACCCACAGGUUAUUAAAUGGCAUGAAUAGAAAUAUACAUGAUGUGGGGUAAGUAAAGUAAUGAAGUGAGUCUUAUGCUUGCUACUAUUGUUAGUGUGUGUUUGCUAGUAUUCUUAGUGUAUUCAUGACAAUAAUAUGAGUGUGGCAUUACUGAUUCUUCCACAGACGACCUCAUAUAUCCUUAUAACACUAUCUUAUGGACUAGCUGGUAAUUGCAUUGAAUUCUGCUAUCUCAAAUGCAGACCUAAAAGAGCUGACUGUUUUUCUCAUAUUGCUGCAAUGGUAAGACGAUGCACGCCUGCUAAUGAUAUCCUAUUCCUUUUGUCCAGUUUCCUGUGAUUGUUAUUAAGGUCCAGAUUGGCAGGUGUAGGAAGGUGUACUCUAUCUACAUAUGCUUUUGGAUAGUAGCAGACUAUACAAUGCUAGGAAAACAUUGAUCUCAAAGAGAUUCAACAAGUGUUAUGUGGUUAGUGCAUGUUAUUGAACAAAUGAUAAUCUCAAAGACACAGAUUACUUACCAUAAAUUCAAUUGCUGCACUAAUCAGAUAGAUGUAAUAGGUGGUGAGGCAAGCAUCAGAUGAAAACCCGCCAAGUAGAGCGAGAAGGAAGGAAGUUCCCAUAAAGUUGGUAACUAUGUUGGCUGAAGCAGAUGGAGAAAAAUUCAUAUUUUUUGAUAGAUAAAGGACUAGAUUGCUCGCAGUUGCCAGGUAUGCUAAGUUCUCUAAAAUCUCCACCACUACGUCCACAAUUGAAAAAAUUCAGAUUGUCAGUUGUUACAAUCUAUAAUUUACCUUAAUAAAUAAAUUUAGCCAGCUUAUAAGUACUAAUUCAUGAAGUUCAUUGCUGUAGCAUUAGAAGCUAACAUAGUGUAUGGGAUUCAAAUUGUAAUGAAAGCAACAUGUGCAUGAGGAGAGGUGGUUUACUGACCCAACACAAAAGAGGCGGCAACCACACCUCCAUGACAUCCUUUCAUGGCUGGCCUGUUUCUCCAGUCCACGUAACCUUCCCACAUGGUCAGUGUCUUCGCAUGAUCCUGCAGCACAGUGCACAUAAAUUUAGUAAAGAUUUGCUGGAGGGAAUAUAAAAAAGAAGAGAUGAGAGCGGGAAUGUGCACCAUCUCUCUCUCUCUCUCUCUCUCUCUCUCUCUCUCUGUGAUGUUUCUGGGAUCUUGAUGUAGAAGUCCCUAGUGGAAAGUCGUCCAGUGCUACAAGGAAGUUAUGCCAGUGUCACCUUUAAAUACUGAAAGGAUGGGGAUGUCAAGUUGUGUAGAAAAAUCUGGAAUCUCUGAAUGUGACCCUGCACUUAGUAAUAUCUUUUUGCUUAACGUAUGGUAAAACCUCAUAUAUUUAUGUGUACAUGCUUCUUGGUACAUACUUUUGGGUGGGGGGGGGGGAGAAAAAACAAAACAAAGAAGUGGUGAGUGCUCACUAUUUUCAGAAUGGUAUACGAGUAUUAGUAACAUAGUUUACGUGGAAUAAUUUCAUCUUUAUAUUAGCUUGAGCUGCUUGGUUCAUUUUAGUUUUUUAACUGUAGACGUUUGGUUUUUGAGUAUUUGUGUGUCUCGUCGUAUUUCUUCCUUCUAUCACAAAGUGCUAUAUGUUCUGUGUAGCAUGUGUUGUAAUGCUUUUCUAAGGGUGAACGGAAUCCAAUAAAUUGAAAUAAUCUGAUGAAAUAGAUCUCACGUUCAAGCAUGUUGGGAAGGUAAAUAAAACUCAUGAUGGGAUGUUGUACUCCUUUAGUUUUAUCUUCAGCUUCAUCUCACUCCUAUCCCACUCUGCUUUCUCUUUUCUAAAUCAAAACUCAAGUGUUAUAUAUUCCCCUCCCUCUGCUUUGAUCUUCUUCCAGAUAUAGUCCAUGCCCUGGUACAUGUUAACUUACCUUGAGUCACAGGGCUCUGUUUGAAAAAUAACCUUUUUCUUUUUGUGUCUUUGUGAACACAACACUGAGGUUGGAAUCCUGAGGGACAUGAAACGGGGAGAAGAGAGGAGGGUUCAGGUGGAAGAUGAUGAACUGAAUAACUAUGUUAAACUUCAACUCCUGCUUUAUGAUGAAUUACUAUAGUUUGAACAUUUGAAUAAUGGAAUGGUCAUCUCAUUUUGUUUAAUAAUAUUCUCUAUUUGAUUUUCUUUGUAUCUCGUGACAUAAUCUAUUAGAAUUGCUCUAUCUCUGUCUUGAUGCUCGUUGGUAAAAUGAGAUUAUUCAUUAUAGUCGUUGUCUAUAAAGAGCGGUCAGUUUCUACUUCACGUGGGGCUUGUCCUUGGCAGUGUCUGUAGAGGGUUCUCAACUUUGCCAUUGCUUCUUCUUGGUACUUGAGUUAUGGCAUUAAUUUCAGCUUAUCAUCUGAGUGGAACUCAUGUCUGCAAGUUUCCAUGUGGACCCUCUUAUUAUGGGAAUUAUACUCCUAAAGGUCUCAAAAUUGAGUGGCUAGAAGUCCUUAAGGUCAUAGCUAUUUACCAUGCGCUUCCUUCUAAUGUCCUGUCGCACUCUGUUGUCUAAGCAAGCAAUUUCAGAUAGAACGGCAUGAAGUAAGAAAACCUAACAGUAUUAGCUUGUCCACGAAAAAUAAUAUAUUUUACUUUUACUCAAGCGAGUGGUAUCAAGUUGUAGCGGCCUAGCGGGUAGCCUUUUCCAAUUAUGUAAUGGCACAGAAAUUGUAAAUUUUUGAUCUCCUUAAAGCAUAUAUAUAUAUAUAUAUAUAUAUAUAUAUAUAUAUGCUUUAGAUCAAUCAUGUCAUUAUCAUAAUUUUUCUUUUCAAAAAAUUGAAAUUGUUUGCAUCAAUGACAUCCUAUAGUCCUCACACCAAAUUACCUUCUUCCAAAUUGUGUACCCUGUGAUUUCAGAUUUUGUUUUUCAAUAAAGAGAUGGUGUUCCAUAAGCUUUAUUUUCUUCUCUGUUUUUAAAUAGGCCAAGAUAUAUAUCCAAUAGUUUCUAAAGAUUUUCAGGAUAUUUAAUAUGCUUGGACAUUAGAAACAAUUCCACCAUCAUAUCGCAUAUAUGUUGUUGCAAGCAAUGAUGAAAUACCAAGAUACAUCCCUGACUCCCUUUUUCGGGUCGUGCUUUUUAUUUUUAAGAUCAACAUUGCAUGUGCUUUUCCUAAUUUUAUGUUGUGUGCUUUGAGCACUAGGUUCUUUUCUAAAUCAGAGAUGUAAGAACUUUUUAACUUCAGUACAUCUGAAUGUUUUUCCAUUACCAUGACAUAAGUUUGAUAGUAAACAGGUAAUGAUUUUAUGGAAGUGGUGUUGUUUUUUGGCCAUCAAACUGAAAGGUUACAAUUAUAGGUGCUGGUUUCAUGACGUGCAUUGCACAGUAAGAAGGGAUUAUUGGUUCCUAUAUAUGGUAUGUUGAGACGUCUAGAACAGUUGGAAUCUUUGACAUUACUGUUAAGUUUCGCAAUUAUGUUUUCCUCUCUUGUUUUUUUUUUUUGAGGGGACUCUUCCUUAUUAGUUGUUCUUUUUUUCUUUACUGUGUUCUUGUAUAAUCUCCUAUAAAUAUGUGGGCAAGUUCAUCAUUAUCUGAAGUCAAAUAUCUUGCAAAACUUUAUGCCGAUGCUCAUCCACCCUUGCAUUAGUUCGGUGGACUUCGGAUGUUCUACAUCCUUCUUAUGCUCAACUGAAGGAGCUGGAAAACCAUCAUUUAAGACAUGUCUGGUUAUGCCAAGUCGACAAUGCAUCUUUUAAGUGUUUGGACUCUGGAUUCUUAUCCAUAGUCCAGGUUAUGGCAAGCUGAUCAUGUUGCAACUAACUUUUAGGCCCAUAAAAUAGUAAAUAUGUUCGAUGGUUGCUAAUGAUAUUCCUAUUGGGACCUUACCAAGCAUUUUGUGCUCAAUUUUGAAAGCUCCUAUUGUGACAGGGAGGCCUUAGUCAAGAAAUUGGUGAAUUGGGUCAAAAAUGUCCUCGUCAUUCCUUUCUGUGGCUCACAGGCUUUUUAGUGUUCCCGCUGUAUAUUUAUCUGUACUAACUGGGCUGAAGUGCUUCUUUUUUUUCCCGCCUCAGAUUAUUGCAUUGCUUGCUGCUUUUGGAAUCCUUAAAUCGUUUACUUCAUCAUCUUGGGAAAUUCAAGAUGAAGAGCCAGUAGCCACAUAGUUUUUAACAUUACUCUCCUGUGCCUAUCAUUUUUGUCUUGGAGUUCCUGUAUCUGGCCUCUGGAAAGAGCCGGUGGAUGGGAGUGGGAUGUGAAGUGGAUAUAAGUAUUCCUAUUUCUGGACAGAGAUAGGAAGUUUUUUGUUAGGAAAAGGACCUGGACAGGAAAAGGCUUACCUGAUUGGUUGCUUGGUCUCAGGAGUCAGGGGUCACAUGUGCCCUUUUCCUUCUGAAAGAGGGAACUCCAGUGGACAGUGGUGCUAUUUUGAAACCUAAGUAGACCACUUGAAUGUCCUAUCUGGAUGAUGCCAGAUGCAUUUGAUAAACAAAACUAAUUCAGUUUAUAGCUACCACGGUCUAAAAUAUUAGGGACCUUGGUGUAAAUGUCAGCAAAUGAUUCAUAUAUUAAAAAAAAGGUUCAGCAAAAAUAAUUCUGAAAAACACUGGUUUCAAGGAAAUACAUCUGUGG